rnacentral:rRNA from 1 species
AACGAACGCUGGCGGCAUGCCUAACACAUGCAAGUCGAACGAGACCUUCGGGUCUAGUGGCGCACGGGUGCGUAACGCGUGGGAACCUGCCCUUAGGUUCGGAAUAACUCCCCGAAAGGGGUGCUAAUACCGGAUAAUGUCUUCGGACCAAAGAUUUAUCGCCUUUGGAUGGGCCCGCGUUGGAUUAGCUAGUUGGUAGGGUAAAAGCCUACCAAGGCGACGAUCCAUAGCUGGUCUGAGAGGAUGAUCAGCCACACUGGGACUGAGACACGGCCCAGACUCGGACGGGAGGCAGCAGUGGGGUAUAUUGGACAAGGGGCGAAAGCCUGAUCCAGCAGUGCCGCGUGAGUGAUGAAGGCCUUAGGGUUGUAAAGCUCUUUUACCCGGGAUGAUAAUGACGGUACCGGGAGAAUAAGCUCCGGCUAACUCCGUG